rnacentral:rRNA from 1 species
CAGUCGCCACGGUAAUACGUAGGGCGCAAGCGUUGUCCGGAAUUAUUGGGCGUAAAGAGCUCGUAGGCGGUCUGUCGCGUCUGGUGUGAAAUCCCGAGGCUCAACCUCGGGCUUGCAUCGGGUACGGGCAGACUAGAGUGCGGUAGGGGAGACUGGAAUUCCUGGUGUAGCGGUGGAAUGCGCAGAUAUCAGGAGGAACACCGAUGGCGAAGGCAGGUCUCUGGGCCGCAACUGACGCUGAGGAGCGAAAGCAUGGGGAGCGAACAGGAUUAGAUACCCCAGUAGUCCCUGUCUCUUAUAC